rnacentral:sRNA from 1 species
AGACGUUCUGGCUGUUCUCCUGUACAUUUCCUGCAAAGACCUAAUGAGAUAUGAUUACUCCAUCCUACAGCUUUCACAAUCAACAGUGUCGACAUGAAGAGCCUGCCGGACUGGACGGUGCAAAAUGGGAAGAACCUGACCCUGCAGUGCUUCGCGGAUGUCAGCACCACCUCUCACGUCAAGCCUCAGCACCAGAUGCUGUUCUAUAAGGAUGACGUGCUGUUUUACAACAUCUCCUCCAUGAAGAGCACAGAGAGUUAUUUUAUUCCUGAAGUCCGGAUCUAUGACUCAGGGACGUAUAAAUGUACUGUGAUUGUGAACAACAAAGAGAAAACCACAUCAGAGUACCAGGUGUUGGUGGAAGGAGUGCCCAAUCCCAGGGUGACACUGGACAAGAAAGAGGCCAUCCAAGGCGGGGUCGUGAGGGUCAACUGUUCUGUCCCAGAGGAAAAGGCCCCAAUAUACUUCACAAUUGAAAAACUUGAACUAAAUAAAAAAAUGGCCAAGCAAAAAAGAGAGAAGGCUUCUCGGGA